ensembl:lncRNA
AGUGUGGGGGCUGAGGCUGGGUGAGGGCUUCCUGCUUGGGAAUAGUGUUGAAGGAGGACCAAGACUUGGAUGAUGUGUAAUCCUACAGAUCGUCGCAAGGCUUCUGGGGACAUUCCUUCCUCCAAGGCUCUGCUCCUUCACUCCCCCCUCCCACUGCUUACCCAAGCCUGUCUCUGCUGUCUAAGGCGUCCUGGACUUACUGGAAUCCGUUUAAUGACAGCAACCAUCUGCUCCCCGUCCUGAUGAUCAGCCCCCUCCCCUUUCCUCCUUCUGCCUUUCCUGGCAGGUGUCCUGGGUUUGGUCUUCCCGGAGCAGGGAGGGGUGGUCCUCCUGGCCUUUCUCAGGGCUUCUGUCCUGGGAGUCUCUGACCCUCACCCCUCCUUCUCCAUCUCCAUCUCCCUGCCCGUGGAGACCACAGAGGGACCAUACACACCCAUCCCACCCUCCUUCCCUGCACGCUGCCCACCUGGCCUGACCCUUCCAUGCUCACGUAUCUGGGCCUCUCUGUCUCCAGCGGAGUUCUUGUUCUCUGCCCCCAUCCCGCCCCAAUGUUCCCCCCUUGCCUCUAAGCAUCAUUUCCUCAUGACACCCUCCCUCCUUCUCCUUUGAUCGGUUUUCCAGGGUCCCGCCUGGAGUCCCCUGCGGUUCUUAGUUCUGUCUGCCCUUCCUUCUCCGUUAAUUCCCUUCCGAGAACCUCCCGCCCUGUCCCUCUAACGCACUGCCUCUUGGGCUGGAGAAAUUUCUUUUCAUCUCCCCUCAUCAGUCAUGUGGGGCAGAUCCCUCACUGGACACCUGCCCCUUCUGGCAGCCCCACCAGGCAGGCGCAGGUGAUUUCGUUAGGAAAACUUGCUUCCAUGGGAUGCAGAGGGUUGAGGACUACUGGAGUGGGGGCAGGGAGUAGGAAGGAAAGUGGCUCUUUGUCCCUUUCUUCCUUCUAGGGUGACAUAGCGGGACUCCAGGGCCAACCCCCUCCCCCCUCCCUCAGCCCCGUGCAGUGAUUUAGGGGGUGUCUGGAUGAAAUGCCAGGAUCUCAGGAGUGGCUUGGGAAGGAAUUCCAGAAUUAUCUGAGCAAAGGUCAGCCUGCUCCCAAUCCCCAUCUUCCAUUUCAGAGAAUCUGCACAGAAACCUUCUAAGGGCUGGGUUUCUGAAGGGGUCUCUCUGUUCCCCACCAUCCUCCUGUCUUUUUCUUGCUCUUGGAGUCCCCCUGUGCUCCUGCGAGAAGCUUCUCCCACCCCACCCUUGCAUCCUUCCUUCCGAGGACCUGUGAGCCUGAUUGACUCUGAUAUCCAGCGGAGGCAAAAGCUGCUUGUUGGCAUGCAGGGCGCCCUGUUCCCCUCACAGGGAGAUAAUCGAGGAGGAAUAUUGGCUCGUCCAGGAAACGAGGUGCUAAAUUUGUUGUGAGAUUGGUGUCACAAGCAAUCAAAGGGAGCCUCUCCCCAUCGAGGGCUGGGCAGCUAAAUGAGAAAUCAUUAGGUUAUUGCAGAGACCGGGGACAACAGAGGUGGAGGAAGGAGCGGGAACCCCACCCCGUUUCCCUGGGGGGACAACACAGGGAGAUCAAAAAGGGAAGAAAAGACUCAGAGAUGCAGAGAGAGGAUGUGGAGAGAGACGCAGACUGCUUUCUCCAAGGUUUCUCCUCCUAUCCCCGGAUGUCACCUUCAUCGGUGACCUGCUCUAGCUUCUGGCAUCUGGGCUGUCCUGAGGCUGACACAGGACAAGGAGACAGGUGAGCGGGGUUGGGUGUCCCCAGGUCAGUGAAAUUUUUGGUGAGUAGAAAAGUUGAAAAGGGCACGUGGGAGAAGCUGGUGAGGGCACAGACCAAAGUGACCGGUUUGGAAGGGAUGGGAGAGAAAAAUCGAUAUAUUCUUUAUUAACCCUCUGGGAGGACUGCCUGGAGGAGGGGGAUUUGGAGCAUGUGUAACAGACACUGGAUGGAUGUAAGUGCAGACCUGCUAGGAAACGGUGGACAUGUAUACAUGUAAGGUACUCUCCUCUUUCUACCAGUAUUCAUGGCCAUAAGGCCAUAGGGCUUUCCCAUGCUUUGAGGUCCUAGGAACCAUCAUCAGUCUGCUUGGCCUUGAAGGGAAGGUCUCUCCAUGGAUGCUUGUUGCCAUGGACUCUCAAUGGGUCACCAUCGCCAUGCUCCCCAUCAAUGUACCAUAAAUUUCCAACAGUGGUUCGAGGAAUGAGCUAAGUCUCCCUGGACUUCCUUGUGUUCUUGAGGCCCCUUGGGUUUCAUGUGACAAGCAAACUGAGUCAGGCAGAACAGGCCAGAUCAGGAGCAGAGACCAGCGUCCAUCAACCCCGAAGACCCGCCUCUGGCCACCCCCUCCACUCUCCCCACAGCUGCCAAUUGAAUGCCGCCAUAUAUUGAGACCCUGCUCCUCCAGCUGUUAAUUACAGAGCCUCCACUGCCAGGCUUCCUCAGCUCCCUGCAGCAAAUUAACAUUCCAUGCCCCUUGCACGUGUAGAGUGAACCAAGUUAGACGGAUCGAUUGAGCAGCCGGUUGGAGCUGCUUUUUACUUUAUGCAGGAUUGAUCCAGAUGACCCCAACUUGGGGCCUCUAGAAGCGCCUUUGCGGGAAAUCUUUUUAAUGGAGAUUAAUUGGAAAAGCCUGGAAUGUCCUAGUUUUGUAGGCAGAAAGUGCCCCAUUCUCCCUUUUCUUGGUGGCUACCUACCCACACUUGUAGGUAGACGUGCUGUAACACACAGAAGUUAACCAGCCACAUGAAUGCAAACAAGGACAUAAUCUGCCCCCCCCCAACACAGUCAUAGACAUACCCUCACACCACCAAACAGCCACCGAAGUCCUUCUUAUUCUUCUAAGUCCAUCCCUGAACCUUACCAGGUUGACAUGUGGUGGCUCUGUGCAGCUCGGAUCAGCCCCAACUUCUACUUUGUCUCUCUGAAUCUCUGUCCAUGUCUACGUCCAGUCUCUCUCAACAGCCUAGAAGUUUCUAGAGGGCAGAGAUUAUGGAAAGCCCAGAAGGAGAAAGUGUUAAUUUUUAAAGAAAUAUGGUCUUGGUUCCCAUCGCUUUAUGUGCCUGAAUUCUAGCCACUUCCAACGGCUCAUGGGUCUUUUAUGUCUCCACGUCUUGGCUCACGCUGUUCCCUUUGUCUGGAAUGCCCUCCCCCCAGCUCUCUGGCUGUUGAAAUCCUCGCCUUUACAACCUAAUGCAGUUCUAGUCAGCUAAUGUGUAUUUAUUGAAUGCCUACUGUGUGCCACACAAGGUCUCCAAUGUUUAACCUGUAUGAUGAAGCAAGGACUAAUGGUUGACAAAAGCCAACAAGAUAGGGAUCUCAGGAGUUCCUGUCUUGACUCAGCAGAAACGAAUCUGACUAGCAUCCAUGAGGAUGAAGGUUCGAUCCCUGGCCUCACUUAGUGGGUUAAGGACCCGGUGUUGCUGUGAGCUGUGGUGUAGGUCGCAGACGCAGCUCAGAUCCCAAGUUGCUGUGGCUGUGGUGUAGGCCGGCAGCUAUAGCUCUGAUUCAACCCUAGCCUGGAAACCUCCAUAUGCCCCAGGUGCAGCCCUAAAUAGACCAAAAAAAAAAGACAACAACAGCAAAAACAGAUAGGGAUCUCAGCCCAAGGGAAGAUGUUGUGGAAGUCAGACUACCUGUGAAGCAGUGUGGUCUCUUCAUUGAUAUAAUGCACUUUGAAGUUGCUCCAUCAGGGCUCGAAGUUCUGCCUUAUUGCCCAGAUACCCUGGUGUGUUCACUAGACUGGAAGCUGAGUGGUGGCAGGACCAGGUCUGUCUUGUUCUCUUUCCAUCCCAGAGCCCAGGACAGUGCCUGGUAUGUAGCAGACACUCAAACCAAAAAAAAAAAAGUUGGUUAUGUAAAUGAAUGAAUAUUGUACUGAGUUGACUUUCUCAGGGUGUAGGUGAUUAUCCAUUAGUUCAGAUAAUCAAAAGACAGCCAUUUAUUGAGCACCUACUGUGUGCAAAGCAUGCCUAUGCUGGUCACUUUGGGAGAUGCACAAAUAAGAUUACAUCUGUCGCCUCAAGGAGUUUACAGUCUCUUCCUGUGAAAAAGGAUCCAAAACGAAAUACAUUGUAGCUACGGACUUAACUGCAGGUGUAAAACUACAUGAAAUGUUGAAGUUUCAUGAUGAAUUGCCAUGGGACCAAAGUCUUACAUCCUUGACUUCCUUCCUAGACUGUUUUUUGAACUGUUCUUUUCCCUGCAGAGGGCUCUGUUCAGAACUCCUUCCUUUAAACUUCUGUACUGCAAACUGUUUCAGUUCCCUUGAUCGAACUGUUACAAAUUGAUUAUUUGAUAGGUGUGUGUCCAAAGUAAGAAGAAAAUAUGUGAGGUGUGUGAAUAGAAUGAUAAAGUGCCAGGAUUGAAAGGGAUCUUAAGUAUUCCCCAGGGCCCCCUGGAACAUUGCUAUCUGGUGGUCAUCCACCCUUAGCUUGAGCUCUUCUAACGACAGGGAGCUUACUGCCAGGUGAUGUUAGAAAGUUCUUAUAUGGGGAGUUCCUGUUGUGGUGCAGUGGAAACAAAUCCUACUAGGACCCAGGAGGUUGUGGGUUCAAUCAGUGGGUUAAGGAUCUGCCGUUGUCGUGAGCUGUGGUAUAGGUCACAGAUGCGGCUCUGAUUCGACCUCUAGCCUGGGAACCUCCUUUUUCGUGCGGCCCUAAGAAGCGAAAAAAGCAAAAAACAAAGCAAAAAAGAGUUAUUGUAUGAAUUAAAAAAAUCUACUCCUCUGGGAGCCACUCUCAUUAACAUCUGGUCUGGGAGUUUAUAAUGAAGGUUUGGUGAUGGGGCCUGGGGGUGUCCUUGGGACAUGAGUGUGGAGCAUGCCUAAGGCAGCCUUUCUCAGAGGCACUAGUGCCAGCCGAGGUGGAGAGCACUCGUCAGAGCCCCAUGCCUUCCUGGAUUAGCUGCUCACCUGGCCCAUAGAGUCAGAUAAUCAGGUAGUCCAUCUGGAAGUGCUCGAGAAAUCUGCGAAGUCAUCUGUGAUAAAGGGUUCCUGACUCUGGAGGGAGAUAAAGGUCUACCCUGGAUCUGCUCUUUUGUUUUGUUGUUCUGUUAAUUUUGAGAGGAGUUGGGUAUGAGGGGGUACAGAAAUAUAAUAAAGCUUGUUCAAUUUAGAAAUGGAGACAUGGGGAGUUCUCAUUUCGGCUUAGGGGGUUAAGAACCCAACUAUACCCAUGAGGACGCGGGUUCCAUCCCUGGCCUCACUCAGUGGGUAAGAGGAUCCAGCAUUGCUGGCAGUGUAGGUCACUGAUGCGUCUCAGAUCCAGCAUUGCUGUGACCGUGGUGUAGGCCGGCAGCCGUAGCUCUGAUUUCGACCCCUAGCCUGGGAACUUCCACAGUGUGGCCCUUAAAAAAGGAAAGAAAAGAAAAGAAAAAAGAAAAA